CGUGCUAAUCUGCGAAAAGCGUCGGUAAGGUGAUAUGAACCGUUAUAACCGGCGAUACCCGAAUGGGGAAACCCAGUGUGUUUCGACACACUAUCAUGUCAUGAAUACAUAGUGGCAUGAGGCGAACCGGGGGAACUGAAACAUCUAAGUACCCCGAGGAAAAGAAAUCAACCGAGAUUCCCCCAGUAGCGGCGAGCGAACGGGGAGGAGCCCAGAGCCUGAAUCAGUGUGUGUGUUAGUGGAAGCGUCUGGAAAGGCGUGCGAUACAGGGUGACAGCCCCGUACACAAAAAUGCACAUAUUGUGAGCUCGAUGAGUAGGGCGGGACACGUGGUAUCCUGUCUGAAUAUGGGGGGACCAUCCUCCAAGGCUAAAUACUCCUGACUGACCGAUAGUGAACCAGUACCGUGAGGGAAAGGCGAAAAGAACCCCGGCGAGGGGAGUGAAAAAGAACCUGAAACCGUGUACGUACAAGCAGUGGGAGCCUCUUAAUGGGGUGACUGCGUACCUUUUGUAUAAUGGGUCAGCGACUUAUAUUCUGUAGCAAGGUUAACCGAAUAGGGGAGCCGAAGGGAAACCGAGUCUUAACUGGGCGUUAAGUUGCAGGGUAUAGACCCGAAACCCGGUGAUCUAGCCAUGGGCAGGUUGAAGGUUGGGUAACACUAACUGGAGGACCGAACCGACUAAUGUUGAAAAAUUAGCGGAUGACUUGUGGCUGGGGGUGAAAGGCCAAUCAAACCGGGAGAUAGCUGGUUCUCCCCGAAAGCUAUUUAGGUAGCGCCUCGUGAAUUCAUCUCCGGGGGUAGAGCACUGUUUCGGCAAGGGGGUCAUCCCGACUUACCAACCCGAUGCAAACUGCGAAUACCGGAGAAUGUUAUCACGGGAGACACACGGCGGGUGCUAACGUCCGUCGUGAAGAGGGAAACAACCCAGACCGCCAGCUAAGGUCCCAAAGUCAUGGUUAAGUGGGAAACGAUGUGGGAAGGCCCAGACAGCCAGGAUGUUGGCUUAGAAGCAGCCAUCAUUUAAAGAAAGCGUAAUAGCUCACUGGUCGAGUCGGCCUGCGCGGAAGAUGUAACGGGGCUAAACCAUGCACCGAAGCUGCGGCAGCGACACUAUGUGUUGUUGGGUAGGGGAGCGUUCUGUAAGCCUGUGAAGGUGGCCUGUGAGGGUUGCUGGAGGUAUCAGAAGUGCGAAUGCUGACAUAAGUAACGAUAAAGCGGGUGAAAAGCCCGCUCGCCGGAAGACCAAGGGUUCCUGUCCAACGUUAAUCGGGGCAGGGUGAGUCGACCCCUAAGGCGAGGCCGAAAGGCGUAGUCGAUGGGAAACAGGUUAAUAUUCCUGUACUUGGUGUUACUGCGAAGGGGGGACGGAGAAGGCUAUGUUGGCCGGGCGACGGUUGUCCCGGUUUAAGCGUGUAGGCUGGUUUUCCAGGCAAAUCCGGAAAACCAAGGCUGAGGCGUGAUGACGAGGCACUACGGUGCUGAAGCGACAAAUGCCCUGCUUCCAGGAAAAGCCUCUAAGCAUCAGGUAACAUCAAAUCGUACCCCAAACCGACACAGGUGGUCAGGUAGAGAAUACCAAGGCGCUUGAGAGAACUCGGGUGAAGGAACUAGGCAAAAUGGUGCCGUAACUUCGGGAGAAGGCACGCUGAUAUGUAGGUGAAGCGACUUGCUCGUGGAGCUGAAAUCAGUCGAAGAUACCAGCUGGCUGCAACUGUUUAUUAAAAACACAGCACUGUGCAAACACGAAAGUGGACGUAUACGGUGUGACGCCUGCCCGGUGCUGGAAGGUUAAUUGAUGGGGUCAGCCGCAAGGCGAAGCUCUUGAUCGAAGCCCCAGUAAACGGCGGCCGUAACUAUAACGGUCCUAAGGUAGCGAAAUUCCUUGUCGGGUAAGUUCCGACCUGCACGAAUGGCGUAAUGAUGGCCAGGCUGUCUCCACCCGAGACUCAGUGAAAUUGAACUCGCUGUGAAGAUGCAGUGUACCCGCGGCAAGACGGAAAGACCCCGUGAACCUUUACUAUAGCUUGACACUGAACAUUGAGCCUUGAUGUGUAGGAUAGGUGGGAGGCUUUGAAGUGUGGACGCCAGUCUGCAUGGAGCCGACCUUGAAAUACCACCCUUUAAUGUUUGAUGUUCUAACGUUGGCCCGUAAUCCGGGUUGCGGACAGUGUCUGGUGGGUAGUUUGACUGGGGCGGUCUCCUCCUAAAGAGUAACGGAGGAGCACGAAGGUUGGCUAAUCCUGGUCGGACAUCAGGAGGUUAGUGCAAUGGCAUAAGCCAGCUUGACUGCGAGCGUGACGGCGCGAGCAGGUGCGAAAGCAGGUCAUAGUGAUCCGGUGGUUCUGAAUGGAAGGGCCAUCGCUCAACGGAUAAAAGGUACUCCGGGGAUAACAGGCUGAUACCGCCCAAGAGUUCAUAUCGACGGCGGUGUUUGGCACCUCGAUGUCGGCUCAUCACAUCCUGGGGCUGAAGUAGGUCCCAAGGGUAUGGCUGUUCGCCAUUUAAAGUGGUACGCGAGCUGGGUUUAGAACGUCGUGAGACAGUUCGGUCCCUAUCUGCCGUGGGCGUUGGAAGAUUGAGAGGGGUUGCUCCUAGUACGAGAGGACCGGAGUGAACGCACCACUGGUGUUCGGGUUGUCAUGCCAAUGGCAUUGCCCGGUAGCUAAGUGCGGAAAAGAUAAGCGCUGAAAGCAUCUAAGCGCGAAACUUGCCUCAAGAUGAGUCUUCCCUGGGCCUUUAAGGCCCCUGAAGGAACGUUUAAGACUAAGACGUUGAUAGGCUGGGUGUGUAAGUGCAGCGAUGCAUUGAGCUAACCAGUACUAAUGAUCCGUGAGGCUUAACCUU
rnacentral:rRNA from 1 species